UAGAGCUGGGGACGCUGGGAGCGGAGUGGGGACGAGCUGAGAUCGGUCAGGGUGUACAGGGUGCAGGCUUGAAUUCUUUAGGAAUUGGGCCCGAGAGGGCUAGGAUUUUUGAAGGAUUGGGUGACCGGCACUGGAAGUUGAUUUUCAACUCCGAGGAAGAGAUUCACCGUUCUAAGCUUCUUUCCAGGAAUUGGAGUGAACGGGAUCUUAAUGGGAUUGCGCGUUUACAAUGGUGAAGGGAAACGGAGGGGUCUGAACGCUCCCCGCAGGGCCGCAGUACAGGCGUGUGGAUGUGGAACCCUUUCUGGGACGGCGAAACCAGCUCUUACGCCGCUUCCGCGCGCCAUCACUCCCUACCCUGACCUCGCACAGAAUCUGUUUCAUUAAUCUGCUAUUAAUGUUUUUUCCCCAACUCAUGUUACUAGACGCAGGCGUUUAACUACCAUGUUUUGUUAUUGAAAACUUUUUCUACUUGAAGGCUUUUUUUUUUUUUUGGACGAUUCUGUGUUUAGAUUUUGGCCUGUUCCUCAUUUUAAAAUCUUGCACCCCCAGUAUUGUACUGUACAUUCUGUCCUGCCACAUUUAAUUGAUAUAGAUGUAGUUCUUUAAAUAAUACAGUAGUCGUAAGACAAUGCUUUCAGUCUUUCACUCUUUAUAUUAUAUGAAGUCUUAUUUAUAUUUAACAUUCUUAUUGCCUGCUUAGAGAAGAAAACUGGUUAUCCAUGCUCACCUUCACACCUGUGUUGUCAAAUACUAUAAAAUACUGUAUUUUAUAGGGAUUCAAGUAUUAACCCUCACCAAGUCUUUUUAAGCAUCACUGCUUCAGUUAUUUUCUUGCCUAUAGAUACUCGAUUCUUCUGCCUCAGCCUCCUGAGUAGCUGGGAUUACAGGCGUGUGCCACCACGCCCGGGUAAUUUUUGUAUUUUUAAUAGAGACGGGGUUUCACCAUGUUGGUCAGGCUGGUCUCAAACUCCUGACCUUGUGAUCUGCCUGCCUCGGCCUCCCAAAGUGCUGGGAUUACAGGUGUCAGCCACCGCACCCGGCCAGAAGUGGUUUCUUCUCAUGUGGAUGCUACAGUGACAGUUCAGGUGACUUGGAAAUUCUUUGUUGUUUGAGAUUCAUAACUCUUACUUGCUAGGAUGUUUGUGGGGACUUUUUAUUUUCUAUUUAUCAAUUAUUUCAUCCUUUGCUAUAUUUGCCUUCUAUUUUUAAUGCUUAAGUUGUCACCAUGGAAAUAAACUGGGUAGAUUGCAUAUUGUUUAGAACCG
rnacentral:lncRNA from 1 species